CUGUGAACGCCGUCAAAAAUUAACGAUGGUGGCGGCGGCUUAAAAUUGACUGACUUUAAGCCGGGUAAAAGUUAUUUUCUAAAGUGAAUAUUUAGAACUAACAAAAACAGGAUAUAUUUUAAAAUUAAAAAAUCUUCAUAAUAUUCUUUUACUCGAAAUAAAAAUAUUUUUAUUUGUGCACCAUAACGAUAUUAGAAAAUGCUGUAAAUUUUAUGUUAUUAUUCACAUAUAUGAAUAGUUUAAUACAUUUGAUACGUUUUUUAUAUCUGGCGGGAUUUUUCCACAGUAGAGUUGACAACAUAUGCCUAUGUCAGCAUGAAAGAAAAAGACGAAGGAAAAAUGAAAAGAAACCAGUUGAAUGUUGUAAAAGUGAGACAUAAAACGCAAAUUGUAAAAACUUUAUUACAAAAUUAUGAAAUUUUUGUUAAUAAAAACAAAACAAAUUGACAAAUUUUACUAUAAACAUAUUAUAUAAUGUACGUACUUGAAAAAACGAAUAAAAUUUAAAAGAUAUAAACAAAAAUAUUAUAAACAAAUUGAAAACAAAACAAAGUAAUUGUUUUUGUCACUAACAAGAAAAACUAACACAAGCAAAUUUAAAAAAGAAAGAAGAAUAAUGAAAAAGGCAAACAAGUAAAGGAAGACGAGUGAAAAAAUUAACUUAAAAUAUAGUGAUUUGAUAAUAACUUCUAUAACAUAUAGAAGAAAAUCAAUUAAUAAAAAAAAAAAUAAUAUUAAAGUAAACAAUUGAUUGAUUGUACAAUAUAUUGUAUGUAUGAAUGUGUAUAUGUAUGAAGAAAAAACAGAAGUAAAGCAAAAUAAAAUAAUAAAAGACGUGUGAGCGCUACUGACAGUGACGUAUGUAGUAAAAUCGUGCAGUGUAUGUUUGUUUUUGUACAAUAAAUUAUUAUAUAUAUGUACACAUGUAGGUAUAGAUGUGUGUCUAUAUAUCUCUUUCAAUUAGAGAAAAUAAAUACAAAAUAAAUAUUAAUAAAAAAGUACAUAACAAGGAAGUUAAAAAGGAAUAAUAAAUAAGAAGAAGCAGAAGAAGAUUUGGUGCUGCUGCUGCUUUUUUUGUGCAAAUUCUCAUUUUCAAUUUACUUUUAUUUUAUUUGUUCUUUAUAUGGAAAUCAAGUGAGUGAUAGAUAGAUAUGUGUAUACUACGGUGAAAAGCAAAAUAAAAGAAAAAUAAAUUCUUAAACGAGAUUUUUCCUUAAGCUUUUUUAUUUUGGCUAAAAAUAGCAACAGUUUUUCUUUCAACAAUUUUUGUUCUGCCAUUUUUUUGGGCAAGUAAAAGUAACCAGGAAACAAAAUACAUACUUUUUUCACUACAAUAAGUAAUAUAUUAAUUAAAAUAAACGAAUUGCAACAAAUAUUUAAGUUUUAAAAUAUUUCAAAUACCUAUUUUUUCUAAAAAAAACGUGUUUUAAUAAAGUGAAAUCUUUCAAAAAAAAAAUAUUAUCAAUAACUUACAAAGUGUGCGUGUGAGUGUGUGUACAAUAUGCUACUGAAAUUUACUAAAACAAGUGGAACUGGAGCUGGUUCCAGUUCUUCCACAUCAUCAUCUAGCAUGGCUGGGACUUACAUUGCUCGAGGAACAGGUUAGUACUAUAAUAAAGUUUAAGGAAAAUAUGGAGAUAUUAACCAUUUUGGUAUAAAGUGUAAGUUAAUUUUAUUAGUUUCAAAUUAAAAUAAAUUUUUUCAAUUAACAAGUGGUCCUGUCUUUGGUAUCGUUUAGAAUUUUGUUAUUAAUAGUAUUUUUAUAUUGUAAAGAAAAUAUCUUUAUAGUUAUUUAAAUACAAUUAAAUUGAAAAACUAAAUUAAUUGUAGCUCUAAUAUGAAUUAUUUUUAAUUUUAUUUCAUUUUAAAGCAUAUAUGUUAACUCUUGUUUACGUUUCUUCUUCUGUUUUGUCUGGGUAUUAGGCAUUCACAUGAAAAUGAUAGUCUGACAUUGAAUACAAAAUAAACAUACGAAUAACAAAUGUAAAGUUAUACGGAAACACAACAAAAAUUAACAACAAUGAAAAUAAUACAAAAAUGCAAAGGAUACGUAGAUACAAGAGGGUUGUGAGUAAAACAUUUGUGUAUAUUAAUUAGGAAAGGUUUCAUAAAAUAUAUUAAAAUUAUGUAUAACAAGUGAGAGUUCUAUAUAAUCGGCUGUGCUGAAUCUGUUUAUAUUUUUUACCAAAAAUACUAGUUGGAAAACGAAAAAGUGCCAGAAAAGUACUAUUUUAUAGAUUUUUGCAAUUUUUAAUAUUAAAACAAUUCAAAAAGUACCAGUUGAAGUGCGAAAAAGUAGCACAAUCUUUACUUUUAAACAUUUUCAUUCCAUCUGGAUGCUAUAUAUAUGUAUGUCUUUAUGUUUCUAGGUUCAGUAUUGCAGAAAAUUCCAAAAGUACAUUUUGAAG